rnacentral:rRNA from 1 species
GUAGGGUGCAAGCGUUAAUCGGAAUUACUGGGCGUAAAGCGUGCGCAGGCGGUUUUGUAAGUCUGUCGUGAAAGCCCCGGGCUUAACCUGGGAAUUGCGAUGGAGACUGCAAGGCUUGAAUCUGGCAGAGGGGGGUAGAAUUCCACGUGUAGCAGCGAAAUGCGUAGAGAUGUGGAGGAACACCGAUGGCGAAGGCAGCCCCCUGGGUCAAGAUUGACGCUCAUGCACGAAAGCGUGGGGGGAGCAAACAGGAUUAGAUACCCUGGUAGUCCACGCCCUAAACGAUGUCUACUAGUUGUCGGGUCUUAAUUGACUUGGUAACGCAGCUAACGCGUGAAGUAGACCGCCUGGGAGUACGGUCGCAAGAUUA